rnacentral:rRNA from 1 species
GAGCGGUAGAGAGAAGCUUGCUUCUCUUGAGAGCGGCGGACGGGUGAGUAAUGCCUAGGAAUCUGCCUGGUAGUGGGGGAUAACGUUCGGAAACGGACGCUAAUACCGCAUACGUCCUACGGGAGAAAGCAGGGGACCUUCGGGCCUUGCGCUAUCAGAUGAGCCUAGGUCGGAUUAGCUAGUUGGUGGGGUAAUGGCUCACCAAGGCGACGAUCCGUAACUGGUCUGAGAGGAUGAUCAGUCACACUGGAACUGAGACACGGUCCAGACUCCUACGGGAGGCAGCAGUGGGGAAUAUUGGACAAUGGGCGAAAGCCUGAUCCAGCCAUGCCGCGUGUGUGAAGAAGGUCUUCGGAUUGUAAAGCACUUUAAGUUGGGAGGAAGGGUUGUACAUUAAUACUCUGCAAUUUUGACGUUACCGACAGAAUAAGCACCGGCUAACUCUGUG